rnacentral:rRNA from 1 species
UACGUAGGGUGCGAGCGUUAAUCGGAAUUACUGGGCGUAAAGCGUGCGCAGGCGGCGCCGCAAGUCAGGCGUGAAAUCCCCGGGCUUAACCUGGAAAGGUCAGCCGAUACUGCGGGGCUAGAGUGCAGAAGGGGCAACUGGAAUUCUCGGUGUAGCGGUGAAAUGCGUAGAUAUCGAGAGGAACACCUGCGGCGAAGGCGGGUUGCUGGGCUGACACUGACGCUGAGGCGCGAAAGCUAGGGGAGCGAACGGG